rnacentral:lncRNA from 1 species
GUAUGUUAUUAGGAUAAAAAAUACUGUUUUUGUUCGUGCGCUUAUUGUUAUCCUUUUUAGGCAAAAAAAAUUGAUUUCAGGUCUCAGAACAAAGACUUAAUACCGUAGAGAUCACAAUGUACAGAUCCACGUGCAUCUAUAGUGAGAACAAAAUUGGACCUAGCACAGCUCACAUGCCCGAUUCCGGCGUCGGAUCAGUGAUGCCAGUCAAAGUGUGUCUGAAUGUCAGGCUAUAUUGGCUAGUUUUAACAAUUUGGCAUUUACGGUAUGACGAACAUAGCACAGUUUAUUCGAAAUCAAAUUCUCCUAAUGAUGGAUGGUCAUACAAAAAU